GGUACGCGCUACGGACUUAAAAUCCGUUGGCUUUUUAGACCGUGAGGGUUCAAGUCCCUCUACCCCCA
rnacentral:tRNA from 1 species